rnacentral:rRNA from 1 species
CCUACGGGUGGCAGCAGUGGGGAAUAUUGGGCAAUGGGCGCAAGCCUGACCCAGCAACGCCGCGUGAAGGAAGAAGGCUUUCGGGUUGUAAACUUCUUUUCUCAGGGACGAAGAAAGUGACGGUACCUGAGGAAUAAGCCACGGCUAACUACGUGCCAGCAGCCGCGGUAAUACGUAGGUGGCAAGCGUUAUCCGGAUUUAUUGGGUGUAAAGGGCGUGUAGGCGGGAGCGCAAGUCAGAUGUGAAAACUCAGGGCUCAACCCUGAGCCUGCAUUUGAAACUGUGUUUCUUGAGUGCUGGAGAGGCAACGGGAAUGCCGGGGGUGGGGGGAAAAGG